rnacentral:rRNA from 1 species
UACAGAGGUCUCAAGCGUUGUUCGGAUUCAUUGGGCGUAAAGGGUGCGUAGGUGGCGUGGUAAGUCGGGUGUGAAAUUUCGGAGCUUAACUCCGAAACUGCAUUCGAUACUGCCGUGCUUGAGGACUGGAGAGGAGACUGGAAUUUACGGUGUAGCAGUGAAAUGCGUAGAUAUCGUGAGGAACACCAGAGGCGAAGGCGGCUACCUGGACAAUUGCUGACGCUCAGGCACGAAAGCGUGGGGAGCAAAAGGG